GUAGGUGGCAAGCGUUGUCCGGAAUUAUUGGGCGUAAAGCGCGCGCAGGCGGUUCUUUAAGUCUGAUGUGAAAGCCCACGGCUCAACCGUGGAGGGCCAUUGGAAACUGGAGAACUUGAGUACAGAAGAGGAAAGCGGAAUUCCACGUGUAGCGGUGAAAUGCGUAGAGAUGUGGAGGAACACCAGUGGCGAAGGCGGCUUUCUGGUCUGUAACUGACGCUGAGGCGCGAAAGCGUGGGGAGCAAACAGGAUUAGAUACCCUGGUAGUCCACGCCGUAAACGAUGAGUGCUAAGUGUUAGGGGGGUUUCCGCCCCCCUUAGUGCUGCAGCUAACGCAUUAAGCACUCCGCCUGGGAGUACGGCCGCAAGGCUG
rnacentral:rRNA from 1 species